CCGAGCCCAAAAGCCAUGUAACCAUGCAAGUCAUACAAGUCAAGCUAAAAAUGUCUUAAUGGGCCAAGUGCGUCUAAAAGGGCUUAGGUGAACCUAAAUGAGCCUAAGGUUGGGACAAGGGUGCCUAAAUGGACCUAAGGUGUCUAAAUGGGCCAAGUGUAUCUAAAUAGGCUUAGGGUGCCUAAAUGGGUCAAGGGUGCCUAAGUGAAG
rnacentral:lncRNA from 1 species